CAGGAAGAACUGGCUGCGCGUGAAGCCGCCUUUGCUCCGCACCUCCUUCUCAUGGAGCGCCCUGCUCGGAAUUUCCAGGAGUCGUUUCAGAGAAUGAUUUGAAUUUCAAUGUGCAGGUUUGUUGUGUUUUAUAUAAUUCAGAAGCUUCAUGUUGUUGAUGAAAGGAAGACACCAAUGUUAUACGACCGUUAGUCGUCUCACCCCCCAGCAAAAUUUUCGAGGGUUCAAGAUGUGCAAGUUGGUGGCCACUCUGGAGGGCUGUUAUUCUACGGCCAUGUUAGAGAGAUUAAAACUGGUUGGAUAUAAAUAUAACCUGAAGCCAGCUGCUGGAACGCUGCAUAUCCGGCCUGGUCAAACGAUAUGCUUUCUUUUCGUCGAUUUUGUUUUCGCCAUUUCUUUGGGUUCUGCUCGAGGGUCCUGUCAUUAUCAUAUCGGUGCUCCACAUUUCUUUUCAUUGAUUUUAUUUUGUUAAUGCGAGGCAGAUGAGCCAGCAAUUUAGCAUUGAUUUUCAUGAUAUGGUUUGAUCCAAGCCAGGGCCAGAUCUGACGUGCCAUGGCCCAUGACAGGUAGCUAGCCAGCUACUGCUGUUGCUCAAACAAUAAAGAAAAAUGAAGGUGGACUAGGACAAAAAAUUAUUCUCUUUUUAAUUAUUAUUAGUAGGCAAAGCUGGAAAAAAUCAACCACUUGGUCAAACGAAGUUGAUCUCACUAUCUCAGUUAAUUGAUAUUUUCGUA